rnacentral:lncRNA from 1 species
ACUAGCUUUUCCCCAAGAAGGGCGUCAAGCUCACAUCCAGUUCCCUCCCAAAGCUGGCCUCAGCACCGCAGAACGUGGGAUGCAACUAACCAUUGUAUAAACUUGAGAUUAUUAACAAAUCCGACUGGGGACAAGAUUAUCACAAAGUAUCUGACUGUAACAAAUCUAAACCAACAAGGUGAAGAUUGAAUAGCAUCAUGAAAUAGUUCCAGAACUGUUGGAAUGCCAGAAAAGAAGACUGAAAUUGGCUACAUCUUUUCCCAGGUGCUAGGUACUCAGCCCCCCCCUCCCCCCGCCACAAGUCCCCCAAAAUAAGUGGUCUAGUUCCAAGGUCUGAAUGGAGCAGAUAGCCAGAAACAAAUAUCAUGUAAAUUUUGCUUUGCUCUUAAACUCUAAUGAUUCAAUGAAAUUAAACAGAAUUAGGAGCUAGUGUUAUUUCAUCAAAUUCUAGGCAUAGAAGAUGAACACUCAUUUUUGAACUCCUAUAUCCUUUACAUGCUAAGCAAAAAUGUAUGCUCAAAAGACUCCUCAUUUCCUUAAAUUUUUAUAAUUAAGUCUUGCUAGGGCAAAGAAGGUGUUUUUAGUUUUGUCUCUAUAAUAUAGUGGAAAGUGUACAAUAAGGAGAUCAAUGUAUAGCCUCAGCUGAACCUGUUUGCUCCUCAAAUUCCUCCUCUGAAAAGAGACAGUAUUUAUCAGUCUCUUCGCACUCUAACUGGGCAGUUAGAGGUGGCGGCCCUGGUUUACGCUGAACCCUAUCACAUGAGAUCCUGGCGUCACUGUACGGCAUAGCCCAAGAGGAGCCUUAUCCUAAAUACUAUGCUCACAAGACAUCCAGUGUCAUUCCAUGAAUUUAAUAUUUUUGCUCUACCACAAUGGGAUAACACAGGUCAUCUUGUAUAGGAUUCUAUGCAAUUAUAAAUAAUAUAAACAUAAAGAAUAAUAUAAUACACCCAAAAUCCUAUUACCCAGAAUCUCACUUUUUAAAAAUCCAAUAAAGGAGGCAUGCAAUAGGAGAGAAAACA